rnacentral:lncRNA from 1 species
CAGAGGAGGCCUCAGAGAAGCCCACAGAGGAGGCCGCAGAGGAGGAGCUUGCAGAGGAGGCCGCAGAGGAACCGGCCAAAGAGGAACCGGCUGCAGAGGAGGAGUCCAAAGAGGAACCGGCCACAGAGGAGGCUGCUGCCCCUGAGGAAGUCACUAAAUAUCAGCAUGAAAAGUGGGAUGAAGAGGCCCAAGAUGCUGCAGGCAAGGAAGAGAAAGAAGAGAAAGAGAAGGAUGCUGAAAACAAGGUGAAGAACUCCAAAGGGACCUAGACGCAGCAGAGGGGAAGCUGAGAAAAUCCAGUUGGGAAGAAUAGAAAGAAGAUGAAGAAAGAAGACUCUGUUGUUCAUUGUUUUUAUUUUAUUUUAUUCAGAUGCCUGUGAGAAUUUU